GCAUUUAAAUGAAGUUUGCUCUCAGAGAGAUGAGAGCAAAAGAACAAUAUCCUAUCUACCUUGGGAUAAAAUAGACUUGAAUCAUCACAGCACAAAAAUGCAGAUGGGGUCCGGCCGCAGCAAGUUACAUCUUGAAAUGCUUGUGUUCAGUUUACUGUAAUGAAUUCUGGAUUCUACAGCUUAUGUUAAAUGGACAAUUUUGCAUAAAAGAAAAAGACAUGGCUUGCACAAAAAAAUUCCAUCCUAUUGUAUACCACCAUGUUACCAAUUGAGAAAAAUCUAUGGACCAUUGCCUUCAGGAUUCUUAAAGCACAGUAGAUGGCUGGGAUUCAACUUGUGGUGCUACCACUGACGUUCUGUGUAAGGCCUGUAUAUGCAGACAAGUAAUUUUCCAGAAAUAGAAUUUGUUGCUUUAUCUAUUCAGGGUAAACUGUUUGUGCAUUAUUGAUCUUGUAGGCAGACAUAACUACAUGGGAAAACACAGUAGCGAAAAAAGUUGGAGUUUGUUUGACCUUUUCAGUAUUUGAUACAAUUUUAAUUGUACAAAACAUCUAUAAAUAAGAAAAUAAUUCUGUAAAUUUCCAGAUCAAAGCUGCAAGCAGUUGCAUUGCUUGUUCUGGUGCUUACCUUGAAGAAGAUUAUAACCUCUUCAUAAAUUCAUGUAAUUUGUGGACAUCUAUGGCAAUUAUACUGUGUUGACACAUUAAAUUGAUUAUACAAGACAAACUCUAAUUAAAUGGCAGCCUUCCAAUUUUAACAAAGCUAUAAUUUAUUUUUUGAAUGCUUUCUUAUGUGGUUCAUUUUCUCCUUCCAAUUCUGAUUUUGUUUUUCUUGACAUCUGUUUUUGGUAUUAUAGUGGCCUUUGACUUGCUGAACCUCCCAGGUACUACUGCAGUGUAGAGGGAAAUAAAUAAGGGGCAUCAUGCAUGCAUCAGGAUUCUUCUAGAUGUGGCUUGUAUCACUCAAAAAUAUUUUUCAAAAGAUGUGCAUUUUUUACCUUUCUCUUGAUCCUUGCAUAUCCAGCCAUCCACUUUCAUUUUCUGAACAUCACUUUAAACCAGACACUGUUUUUGUGGACCUUAAUACGUUUUUACAGUGCACAUGAUAUUCAUCUGCGUAGCACAGAAAUGUUAAUUCAAGCACUAGAACUGGCUACCUAGCAAAGUGGCUGAUGCCCCAUGCCUGUCAUUGUCCAAGAGGCAUUCAGAUAAUGCCAUCAAUAACAUGCUGUAACUUCUGGUUAGCUCUGAAAUGGUCAGGAAGCUGGACAGGAAGAUCCUUCUACUGUGCCUUCCAUCUGAACUUUUUUAUUCUACUCUACUGUACUCUACUCUGUUCAACAUUUCCUGCUAAAUAUCAUUUUCUGUGUUAUCAUUUUUGUGAUAAAUGCUAAGGCUAAACACAGGAAGCUUGAAAACUCUCACAGGAAGACUGCAACUGUUUGAAUGACUGAAAGAAGUUCCAUUCUUCAGGGAAACUCUUCUUCAUAUUUCAUUUUCAAUAGGGAACAAUUAUAGAUGCUCUGAAGGAGUGCACUCUGAAUUCAUGGACAUCCCUGAAAUUGAGGAAUGCUUUUAGGCCACUCAUGACUCUAGAAAUGUCAUGAACCUUAACUACAUCACCUUAAGAAUGGAGUAAAUAGCAAGGACCAAGUUCCUUCAUUGAGAGAAAAAAAAAUAACUGAUUUGCCUACAUUUGUGACUUGGAAAAUGUAGCAGUGGUACAAGAUAAGAGGUACAACGCAAAGAGGUUCCUGCUAAUAUCCCUGCAAAUGUGUUUUCAGGUCAGUUUUACAGCCCUGAAAAAGUUAGGUUGUUGUUCUGAAGUUCCCACAAGCUGUCAUACUUCAGCAUCUUCUCAGAGAGAACAAGAUCAACUAAACUUCCUAUGUACGAUAUAUUUUUUUUCUUCCUGGUGUUUAUAUCCUUGCUUAUUGUAGAUUAUAGAGGUUUUGAGAAGAAACUUAGUGCUAUUUUAAUUUGAUAAGGAUGUGUUAGGAUUUUGAUCAAGUCAGUAGAAAGAUAAAAUCAUUCUGUAUGUAAAGAUUUCUCUCUUAUUAGUACUCCAAAUUUCUAUAUAUUAUAUACAUAUAUUCUUAUCAUAUGAAUGUGUAUGUGCAUAUAAACCCUAUAUGGUUAGCAUUCAAUUUUAAGUAAAGUUUUACAAUUACACUGAUGCUAUAACCAUCUUCUUGUGUAUUGCUCCUAUUUUACUGAUAUAAAAUAGUUAAUAUUUGAAGUAAAUUUCUUCCUGUUGCUGACUUGGUUAGCCAGUUCAUUUUGUUAUGUUAAUGUAAUGCGUAAUCUCUGUAUCUUCUGAAAGAAAACUGGUACAGGAAACAAAUCUGCACAUAUAUAAAUUUUAUACUGAAAGCUCAUAGUGUCACACUCAGAGCAGAUGUGAACAAAUCUGUACUACUUACCAUGAAGUGAGAUCUUGUCAAACCAAAUACAGCUGUACUGUUUGCCUCUGUCGAAUGCUCAUCUCAUUAGCUAUUCCUUGUUCACAGAACCUGCCAUUUGAUCCUCAGGGUACACCUCGUCAUCAACUCCUUGUCAGUAGUACAAGGUAGCGUUCCUCUUUAUAAUGCCUUGAUCGCUAGUUUUGCAGAAAAUCAUUGCUUUUAGCUGCUGACCUUGGAUAGUGCAAAGAUCAAGAGCAUCAUUUGCUUGCAUACAUUGUGAACAGACCCCAUGCCCUUGUGCAAUGAUGCCCAGACAGAAGUAGUGUAAAGAUAUGCCAGUACUGAAAAGCUUCUUACAGUACAAAAAAAGCUGAUCAUCUCUAACAGGAGGACUGGGAACAGCAGCUUCCUCUAUGCAGCUAAGAAAGCCUGCAGUAGGUUCAAGGAUGAAAACUUGAUUCAGUCCCAUAAAAACACUGUGACAGAUGAAACAUAGCUCUUCCUGGAUAAGGGAGCUCUCUCAGGAACUGCUCUCAGGAGUUGAAGCAGAGGUAGAACUGGAGCCAAGAACACAGCAGAGAUCUAGAUCCUACUUAGAAUCAUAGAAUCACAAAGGUUGGAAAAGACCCACAGGAUCAUCCAGUCCAACCAUUCACCCUUCACCAAUGGUUCUCGCUAAACCAUGUCCCUCAACACAACAUCCAAAUGUUCCUUGAACACCUCCAGGGUUGGUGACUCCACCACCUCUCCGGGCAGCCCAUUCCAGUGACUGACCACCCUUUCAGAGAACUAGUAUUUCCUAAUGUCCAGCCUGAACCUUCCCUGGCGCAGUUUGAGGCCAUUCCCUCUAGUUCUAUCACUAGUCACACGAGAGAAGAGGCCGACCCCCAGCUCACUACAACCUCCCUUCAGGUAGUUAUAGAGAGUCUUAGGAGACUAUAGUUAUACUAUACAGUUAUAGUUUGUCUUAGGAGACAAACCAGAGAGAGGGAAGUUCAGGUUUGAGCAGAAAAGCUGCUGGGUCAAGGAUGGAGGUGCUGGCCAGGAUCCCAGAGGAGGCUGCUCUGUGCUCUUAAGUGCUUGUAAGUGCUCCCAAGGUCCUGAUGUGUGUUCAAAACAUUAGGAUAGGAUAGGUUUUUGCCAGAAGAUGGUAAUCAGCUUAGGCAACUUCUAAUCAUACCUUGGACACAGGAUAGCAUGGACUUAUCCAGAUAAGUAGGACUAUAGCUAGGGAGGGAAUCAACAGGGUGGGGCCAGACUGUUCUCUCUGUUUCCUGACAACAGGACAAGAGGCAACAGGCUCAAAGUGAAACACAGGAAGUUCCAUCUGCAUGUGAGAAAUAACUUCUUCAUUGUGAAGGUUACAAAGCACUGGAACAAGCUUUCCAGAGAGGCUGUGGAGUCUCCUUCUCCGGAGAUAUUCAAAACCUGCCUGGAUGUGACCCUGGGUAAUGUGAUCUAGGUGAUCCUGCUUGAAGUAAGCAGGUUCGACUAGAUGAUUCUCUUCUAACCUCAACCAAUCUGUGAUUCUGUGACUUCAUCUUCUGCUUUUUCUAAUUACAACUGUCAUAAGCAAAAGCUAGGAAAUUUGGCAGCUCUUUUAUAAGCUUACCCUGAAAUUUAUUUCCUGUAAUUUGUGUUUAGUGUUCAAUAACAAAUCUACCUUUCUUAUUGCUUCUCUUAUGGAGAAAUAAAAGUAUACACUUGUGUUCUUACUUUCUUAUAGACAAGAGCCUGCUAGAGAUUGGAGUGUUGCUCAGAAGCUUAUUUUGUGUUGUUCUUUUAUUCCUUACCCAUAGCAUUUAGAAGAAUGAGAGAAUGCAACUCAUCUAUAGCAAAAAUUGUACGGAUGAUGUUUCUAGUGUUAAAAAUCUUAACAAAGAUGCAUUUCUCAACAAUCAUUUUGUAACAUCAGUUAUCAAAUACUGAAGAUCCUGUCAAAGCACUUGACCUCAAUAUAACUCAUUAUGUAGGCUUCAAUAGUUGUACAUGUGAACACACAUAACACAUUUCAUUCUUUGCCAUGCUUUAUGCUACAAUAGGGUGAAAGAGUGCAAAGCAAAUCUAGAAUAAAAAAAUCAAACACAUUAAUUAUAUCAGAUCAGAUAUACACUGAUAUAAAAUUAAAAUAUCUUUAAAACUUCCAGUGCAACAAAAAAUAUUCAAGAAAAUAAAUGCAGACAAAUUCAUAACAUGGGCAAAAGUGGCUGCUGUUAAAUAGUUAAUCUAGACCAGUCUUCACACUCUUUCACAGCUUAUCCUAAAAGGAACAGAGCAUUUUAUCUUUCAGAAGCAGCAACGAAGACUGUGAUGUUAUCUUUCCAACAGUACAGUUAUGAACUGUGACAUUUAAUUUGACUUCCACAUUCAUUCCUAUGCUUAGCCUCAUGCUGAAAGAGGUCUUCAUUCAAAUUUUUAGAUAUUCUUUUGUCACUCAAUUCAACCUUUACCUUGAGGAUUUCUUUUUCCCUGCAGGAAAGUGUUUUUAUGAAAUUGGGUGAAUUGAAUGUCAUGAUCACUUCUGAAAGCAAAGAGCAUUUUAAGAUAGCUUUAUCUCUGCAAGAAAGAAUAUACGUUAACAGAAGGUAUCUUACCAAUAUGAAUACAAAUAUUUUAAUAUUGAGUAAUAAUACUAUAUGACAUUGUUUGAGAACACAAAGAUGAACAUUUGUAGCAUAUUCUAUCCUCAUCUAAACUCAGAUUUUCUAUUGAUCUCUCUAAUGAGCCUGGAUUCUCUCCUCUUCUUCACUUAGGAAAUAAUUGAUCGAUAAAUAAAAAUGUGAGUAAAAAAUGCUUUGCUUUUAUUCAGCAUAGUGAGAGAGUACAAGUACAGGGUAUCAGGUAGGUGAACAGAACAGAAAUAGCUGACAGAACAAGACGAUCAAGUGACUGUGAAUUCUGAUUCGCAGUUGGUGAUUUGACUGAGAGAGUUCCAAAAGAGGAACACGGCAUCAUACCAGAACAGUGCAUCUGUAGAGCUAGUAUUUGAACCUGAGUGCAGAGGAGAAGCCUCUCGGCAGCAAGAGAACAGUUCAGAAGAGGCUGAAGAGUUUAGCCAUGCUAUCUAUAACUAGGAAAUAGUAAGGGAGAAGCAUAAGCAUAUUUACUGAGAAAAAAUGUAGGAGUCAAGAUGAAGGGUCAUGCCUCCUCAAUUCUUUUCCCUUAAAAUAGAUCCAGCUGUUACUGCUUGUCUUCACUUAAACAACCUUGGCAAGGAACCAGUUAUUUUCUCCAUUUUCCUUCCUUCUUUCUCAGUCAUGUUUCAGAUGAUUGCUUUCCGUAUUUUUUGACUUAUAAGAGUUUGUGAAGAAAUAACUUAAAAUCUGGCAUACUUCUCUUCCUUCCUUAUUCCAUUUUAAAGAGGAAAUAAAAGAGUCAAAGCAGAAGCAGUCAGCUAGAAAGAGAAUGUGGAGAACCUUAAGAGUGGUUGAGCAUUUGAAGUGAAGGGAAGAAGAAAAUAAACAAUGUGUUUUCAGAAGACAGAAGAGCCAGGUAUCUACACAGCUAUGACACGAAUAAUUUUCAUGAAAUCAUUCUAAAAUACAUUGCAAAACACCUUCCUCGUUCCUAGGAGCAAUUUUCUGAGCAUUCCAAUUAAUACUUUUCCUCAGACUUUCUGUUCUAUCAAGUAAAGCAAUUGUUGAGUUACUGUGGAACAGUGCACAGCUGAACAGGGCAGUGUAUAAUGCCUGGAUUAAAGUCUUCCCUUUGUUCGGAGUAAUUAAAAGGUGUCAGGCUAAUGAGGAAAAAAGAUUAUGUGUGCUUAAUGAAAGGACACUACUGGAACAAUUCCAUAAGAUAGAGAAUCUGUAAGAUCAGUCUGAAAAUUAAGAUUAAUAGUUUUAAUUUUCUUAAUUAGUUUUCAUUUUCUGAGCUGUUCUCUUGGUUUAAUAAGCACAGCAGUACAUUUGCAGCCCCUAUUUAUCCCACUUGUGGAUCUUCUAGGAUGUUUCCAUGACAACAUGACUCUAGUCCAUCAAAACAAUGAGCAGGAACCUGGUGAGUCCCUCACUCAGCGUUUCAUGGCUAGUAGUCUACUGGUGAGAACCAUGGGGCCCGUAGCUGUUCUAGUUGCUCUUUGUGGCCUUUUGUUCACUUUGAUGCUUCUAGCUUCUUCUGCUGGAUUCAGGAGAAUUACUGAACAGGGACUAUUGUUAGAAAAAGAUAUUUUUAAUGUAGGAUUUUUUGAAUUUCAGUGAUUCCUGUAACACGGAAAGUAUUGUUUCAGUUAAGGAGUUUUGCUGUGGGAGCAAGAAAGGAAACAAAUUCCAAGGGCAGCAGUCUGUGAUAGCCAUUCAUUUGCUGCAGAGAAUGCUAAUCCACACCAGCCCUUAAACUUAUACAUUUUUCCCAGUUUGUGUCACUGGCUGGCAGACUGAUUCUCCUGCUCUUUCCUCCCUCACACCUGCUCCAAGAAUCCUUAUGGGGAGAGGAACAAGAACCCAGUGGCAGGGGCCUGUCCCACCCCACUUCUGUGCUGGGGCACAGGAGAGCGCAGGCACUACAGGACACUAGGUAUCCAGCACAGCUCCUAGCUGAGACUCAGAUAUCAUCUCCGUGUCGAUAGCAGGAUUUUUUUUUGUAGUGUGUAGAACAUGAGCCAUCUAUAUUAUAGAGCAUCUAAAAAAAUCACAAGAAACUACAACACUCCUUUUUAUAUAAAAGGAUAAAUAGAGCAUUUUAUUAACACUUUUUGCAGCAACAAAAGUGACACAGUCCACAUCUUUUUCAUUAAACACAGCAAAAGCUAUGGUCACAUUUUACAUCACUUUGAGGCACAAAGCAAAAUAUUUUUUCUUAAAGUUAAGUUAUGAUUUGCAUGAAAAGAAAAAGAAAGAAAAAGAGAAGGGAAGAAGGAAAGAAGGAAAAGAAAGGAAGUCAGUAAGAAAUAAAGAAAGAAGGG
rnacentral:lncRNA from 1 species